UAAUAUUAAGAAGAAUAGGAAACAGAAAUGGAAAAAAGCUGACAAGAAGAAAGGGGACAUAUUUCCAACAAUAAAUCUAGACAGUUACUCUGUACAUCCAGUAGCUGUAGAAGAAGAGCAAGAAUUGACAAGUGAUUCUGAUCUGGAAUUAUUAGAUGACAAGGAACCAGAUGAGAGUGAUUCUGAAGAGGAGGGUCACUCCAAAGAAGUCUGUACAGAACCACUGUAUGUCCUCCCUUUGUUUUCAUUGUUGUCCACUGAAAAACAGGUCAAGGUGUUUGAACGACCACCAGAAGGUUAUAGGCUGUGUGUUGUAGCCACUAAUGUGGCAGAGACAUCGCUGACUAUUCCCAACAUCAAAUAUGUUGUUGACACAGG